UUGAUGUUUUGAACCGAAGCCGCGGCCGCCUUGCCUAUUCUAUCUCUAUCACUUGCCAUCCUCACCCUCUCUCUCUCCUCUUGCUCCGCUUCUCCCCGGCCACCACCACGGGCCCCUCCUCACCGUCAACCUUCUCUAAUACGCCCGCUUCUUCGCCGACUUCCUCCUCGGCCUCUCCGCUCCUCCGGCAGCCAUGUCACCCACUCCGCCGCCGCCUGGUGGCUCACCCGCGCCUUCAGUUGCAGCGCGACCCCCGCCGCUCCCUCGGCCGCCAGCCUUUCGACGACCACAACGUCCUUGGCAAAAACCCUCUCCUCCUCCCACCUCUCUCCCUCCUAGCCUCUGAACCCGGCACCUCCCACGCCGACAUUAACGUCGUCCUCGCCUCCGCGGACGUGGCCGUCGACGGCUUCUGCUCGAACCGGU
rnacentral:lncRNA from 1 species